rnacentral:rRNA from 1 species
AUGAACGCUGGCGGCGUGCCUAAUACAUGCAAGUCGAGCGAACGGACGAGAAGCUUGCUUCUCUGAUGUUAGCGGCGGACGGGUGAGUAACACGUGGAUAACCUACCUAUAAGACUGGGAUAACUUCGGGAAACCGGAGCUAAUACCGGAUAAUAUUUUGAACCGCAUGGUUCAAAAGUGAAAGACGGUCUUGCUGUCACUUAUAGAUGGAUCCGCGCUGCAUUAGCUAGUUGGUAAGGUAACGGCUUACCAAGGCAACGAUGCAUAGCCGACCUGAGAGGGUGACCGGCCACACUGGAACUGAGACACGGUCCAGACUCCUACGGGAGGCAGCAGUAGGGAAUCUUCCGCAAUGGGCGAAAGCCUGACGGAGCAACGCCGCGUGAGUGAUGAAGGUCUUCGGAUCGUAAAACUCUGUUAUUAGGGAAGAACAUAUGUGUAAGUAACUGUGCACAUCUUGACGGUACCUAAUCAGAAAGCCACGGCUAACUACGUG